rnacentral:lncRNA from 1 species
GCUGGGCCCCGGGUCUCUCACUGGCAGAAUGGAGUUCUCGGAGCUGAUCCAUACGGGCUGAGCCCAAGCAGAGUUUCUACGGGGCCCGGAGGCGCCCCCGCUUCGCGGCACGGUGUGAGUCACCGUCCACCACCUGCUCCUGUCGCCAGGGCCCGCGUCCUCUCCGGACCUGUGGCUGCUGCUGUUGCGUAGCGUCGACUCCUUCGAGAAGCAGGUUGCGAGUGACUCGGGCACCAUCACCCUGUGCUGUAAAGACCUGCGAGUGCUGCAGCUGGAAAUAGAGGGCGCGGAAGCGACGCUGGGCAUCGCCCGCUCCAUCGAGGUUCUGCUACGCUCCAGCCAGCCCCUAACUGGUCCCCAGAAGCGGCGCUGCUACAGGGACCAGGAGCUGCUGCGAACUGCGCUGGCGGGGGCUCGUCCUUGGGCGCGGGGCUUCAUCAUGGACACGCUCUCGGCCCAGGCCGCGAAACAAGCCCGCGUGACUGGCGGAGGCACAGAGACCAAGGCCGCUUAACCUGGCUGGUUGCACUGGUCCCUGGAGAGAGGGCGUCCCCUGCAGGAGAGCUUCAUGCGCCUGGUGGAGGCCUGUGGGGACUCGGAGCAAAGCAUGGACAACUGGCUGAGUCGGCUGGACGGCUGCCGCUGACUGUAACAUGUAAAGCAGGCACUGAGCACCACCUGCCUGGCAGUCCAGGGCAUGGAGAGGCACAGACAGCACCCUGCUUGUGACUUCACUGGCCCAACUCAUCCUGGACCCCUUGAGCAAGACCAUGGCUGGAUUCCAGGAACUGGUGGAGUGGAAGUGGAUCCAGGAAAAUGCCGUGUGAAGGGAGGACUCAGAUGCACUCCCUGUGGUCUGGGCUCAACCAGCCAAAAGAGCAACAAAGACUCCAGAACCCACUCUACCUCCUCAAUCCCUUGGCCAUCUGUGGAGCCCCAGAGCCUGCGGCUGUGGCAAGGCCUGUUUCUGCGCUGGACCUGCUCACCUGAGCCUGCAGAAGCUGCAUGGGGGAAGAGUGUGGCAAAUAGUGACAGGAAGGGAGAAGACAGAAGCCUCUCAGCCAACUGCUUCAGCCGAGCCCCUAUUCUAAGCACUGGCUCCUUGGAUAGCAGCUGAGAUGUUCCUGAAACCUCUGCAGGCCCCUUAGGACCUUUACACCUUGGAUGAGGGUGCCUGCAACCCAGGUUAGCCAAAAGUACUGAGGGUCUUAAGUUUGAAGUGUCCAAAGUAUAGGGAGGUCUCAAUAAUAAAAGUCUCCAUGAUCAGCA